CCUACGGGGGGCAGCAGUGGGGAAUAUUGGACAAUGGGGGGAACCCUGAUCCAGCCAUGCCGCGUGUGUGAAGAAGGCCCUCGGGUUGUAAAGCACUUUCAGUGAGGAAGAACGCCUGGUGGUUAAUACCCAUCAGGAAAGACAUCACUCACAGAAGAAGCACCGGCUAACUCCGUGCCAGCAGCCGCGGUAAUACGGAGGGUGCGAGCGUUAAUCGGAAUUACUGGGCGUAAAGCGCGCGUAGGUGGCUUGAUAAGCCGGUUGUGAAAGCCCCGGGCUCAACCUGGGAACGGCAUCCGGAACUGUCAGGCUAGAGUGCAGGAGAGGAAGGUAGAAUUCCCGGUGUAGCGGUGAAAUGCGUAGAGAUCGGGAGGAAUACCAGUGGCGAAGGCGGCCUUCUGGACUGACACUGACACUGAGGUGCGAAAGCGUGGGUAGCAAACAGGAUUAGAUACCCUAGUAGUC
rnacentral:rRNA from 1 species